rnacentral:rRNA from 1 species
UGAGUUUGAUCCUGGCUCAGGACGAACGCUGGCGGCGUGCUUAACACAUGCAAGUCGAACGAUGAAGGGGAGCUUGCUUCCUGGAUUAGUGGCGAACGGGUGAGUAACACGUGAGUAACCUGCCCUUGACUCUGGGAUAAGCGCUGGAAACGGCGUCUAAUACUGGAUAUGACCUGUCCCCGCAUGGGGGUUGGUGGAAAGAUUUAUUGGUCAAGGAUGGGCUCGCGGCCUAUCAGUUUGUUGGUGGGGUAGUGGCCUACCAAGGCGAUGACGGGUAGCCGGCCUGAGAGGGCGACCGGCCACACUGGGACUGAGACACGGCCCAGACUCCUACGGGAGGCAGCAGUGGGGAAUAUUGCACAAUGGGCGAAAGCCUGAUGCAGCGACGCCGCGUGAGGGAUGACGGCCUUCGGGUUGUAAACCUCUUUCAGCAGGGAAGAAGCGAAAGUGACGGUACCUGCAGAAGAAGCGCCGGCUAACUAC